CGAGCUGCUGAAGGUGGUCUACUGCCUGAGUCUGCUGGGCCACUUCCCCGCCACCCCACUGGAACAGCUGCUGCAGCAGGAGACACUGGAGGAGAUCAGUGCCAGAGAUUUGCAGUAUUCUGCGUACCCCCGAUCUCUUUCUGUUAUGGUAGCUCCCGUCCCCAUGGCAACCUGGCUAUCAAGAUGCGUCAUUUGGCGAUCCUAGGAUACACCCCAGUCGUGUUGUCGGAGCACGAGCUGCACAAUCUAUCCGAGGAGGAGAGAACAGAGCUCCUCAGAACACGGAUCUUUCCAGAACAGGAAAGACCUGCUAAAGUCGAUCAAAUGACAGACUGACGGACAUGGAGAGAGGGGGGACAUGGCUCAUUCAGUCAAGAGAACCUCGGCCUGGUUCUGUGGUCAGUCUGGUCACGAUCCGGUCCUGUUUCGGUCCUGUCAUUCGUUGCACAGGAACUGCUGGUAUACUGAAUUGACUACAUGAAGACUGUUGUCGAAAAUAUCUCUGUGUGAGUGUCUGGACUAUACAGUUAACUGCAUAAUGUCUCACUAUUUAACUAGAAAGUAAAUGGGAACCAACUCCCAUUGCUCCUCAUAUUUGUGAGGGAAUCUGUGUUGGAGCGUAAAUGUUCCAGUUUAAGUAAGUUAAAUCCUGUUGAAGUAACUUUAAAGUUAAGUAACAUAACUUUAAACAUCUUAAUACCUUGCAUGGGUUAUUCCUAAAUAGUCUAAAUUCAUAUCCUCGCCUCCUCUCCUUCAUCUGCACUGAUCUGAAGGAACUGACCAGCCUAAUCAGUGCAGAUGAAGGAAAGGAGAUGAGGAGAAGAAGCUACUCUAGACUAUUGAGACAGAGAGCCAUGUUUCUACUGGGUUUGUGUGUCUCGUUUAGAAUACGUUGUCACUUGAGAUGAAUCUGUGGCCUUGCCAAAAGUGAGGCCCAAUCCUAAAUGGACCCCUAGACCUUACACCCUGUGGAGAUUGGAUAUGAUUUGAUGGGUUUAAGGAAUAACGUGAAACUUCAACCUAGCCUACCAGAGGGCCAGUUGGAAUUAAUUACCAAAUUGCUUCCACCCGUUAAAUCCUCCUAGAUCUCCUCAAGUGGAUAGGAUGAGGGUCUAGGGGUUGAUUUGGGAUUGGGCCUGACAUUGUUCAGAUUGAUGCCAUUGAAAUGUGUUGAGUCGAGGUGGUUAUGCGAACUGAUGUUAUAAUAAAAAAUGGCUUAUAAUCAUGACUGUCACUUAAGCUGAAAAUAGAAUGUCAUCCACUAUAUACAGUACCAGUCAAAAGUUUGGACACCUACUCAUUCCAGGCUUUUUCUUUA